UACAGAGGUGGCAAGCGUUGUUCGGAAUUACUGGGCGUAAAGGGCGCGUAGGCGGCCUUCUAAGUCAGACGUGAAAUCCCCCGGCUUAACCUGGGAACUGCGUCUGAUACUGGGAGGCUCGAGUAUGGGAGAGGGAUGUAGAAUUCCAGGUGUAGCGGUGAAAUGCGUAGAUAUCUGGAGGAAUACCGGUGGCGAAGGCGGCAUCCUGGACCAUAACUGACGCUGAGGCGCGAAAGCUAGGGGAGCAAACGGG
rnacentral:rRNA from 1 species